UGGAGAAUGUAGCACAGUGGUAGAGCAGUUGCCUAGCAUGUACAAGGCCCUGCAUUCAAGCCCCAGUUCUGCAG
rnacentral:tRNA from 1 species